GACGAACGCUGGCGGCGUGCUUAACACAUGCAAGUCGAGCGGUAAGGCCCUUUCGGGGGUACACGAGCGGCGAACGGGUGAGUAACACGUGGGUGACCUGCCCUCAGCUCUGGGAUAAGCCUGGGAAACCGGGUCUAAUACCGGAUAUGACUCCAUGACGCAUGUUGUGGGGUGGAAAGCCUUGUGCGGCUGAGGAUGGGCCCGCGGCCUAUCAGCUUGUUGGUGGGGNGAUGGCCUACCAAGGCGACGACGGGUAGCCGGCCUGAGAGGGCGACCGGCCACACUGGGACUGAGACACGGCCCAGACUCCUACGGGAGGCAGCAGUGGGGAAUCUUGCGCAAUGGGCGAAAGCCUGACGCAGCGACGCCGCGUGAGGGAUGACGGCC
rnacentral:rRNA from 1 species